UCAGAGUGAUGACUCAAAGAAGAGCAUCACACAUGGUUGUGUGAUGUCAUGAGAUGACACAGACUUAGUAUAGCAUCACGUAUGCUGGCCAAGGAGAUGGUGCAGAUGUGUCAUCGCAUGCAGCUGUCAAGGAUGUGAUGUGGACAUAAUGACAGGGUUGCCAGCAAAUGAUGCGGAAGUCGUGGAGUCUCUUACAUGCUUGUCAAGAAUACAUAGUUAUGAGGGUGACCUGUUGUUUAGUAUAAUAAAUUACCACCCAAGACAGAGUGUAUUCGUAAUGUUGUAAUACCGAUGCUUGUCAAUGAGGGGGGACAGAUGUCACAUAGCAUGAUAUGCAGCUUUCAGUGACAUGUCAAAGACAUGGUGUAACAUCAUAUUUAUUUGUCAGCAAGGUGAGUUCAUGGUAACCAUACAUGGUUAUCAAGGAGAGGAUACCUCCUAGGCAGCAAUCAAGGAGAUGAUGGAGUGAAAUGGAAUAUCGUGCAUGGUUUUUAAGAAAAUCGUCCCACAGCUACAAGUAAAAAAAAAAAAAGAGAGACGACUAUGAUAACUUCCUGUCUGAAGUGCAAAAACAGCAAGUAGUAGUCUUGAUGACAUGCGUACGGCUGGCUAAAUAACUGGGCCAAGAUCAUGUGUAUCAUUUUCACAUGUUCUGUUAAUUCUACCUGGAUUCAUGACAAGAGACCACAGCCAACCAACUAACAAGGCACACUUUGGACCAGGAGAAGAUCAGAGACAGACAUUUAGGAUGGGUAGUACAAAUCUGCCACGAUAGUAGGAAAAAUCUCAAAGUGCCUGCUCCGCUGACUGGAAAGGAAGUGUCCUCUUUUCAUAAGAAGGUCAUCAAAUGAUAAGGAGCUUGAUCUAAAACUGUAACGCCAGCACAUGAAAAGUACACUAAGGUUAUAAUACAUUGGAUGUGUAAUCAAAUAAUAAUUCCAGAGCAUAAGCUCUUAGCAAAAGAAAGUUAAAGGCAGGGAGACGUGGUGCUGAGCCUCAUUGAGACUGCCUCUAAUCAAAGUUCAACAAAUGAACAGAGAGAAUAAAGAAAAAUAACAUGCC